rnacentral:misc_RNA from 1 species
GUAGGUGAACCUGCGGAGGGAUCAUUACCAGAGAUGGCGGGCCCCCGCGCCCCCGUCCCCAACCCUUUGUUGACCAAAAACCAUUUUGCCUCGGGGGUAGAGCGUCCGCCGCCGCCCCCGGAGGACCACCGAACGCUGUCUCUGUACGUCGGAGUAUUGAUUAAAUGAAUAAAAACUUUCAACAACGGAUCUCUUGGUUCUG